rnacentral:misc_RNA from 1 species
AUGUGAAAUAGUCUAGCUGUUGGACGUCAUACACUUUCUCCUUGACGUGUACGUAUUAUAAUUGGUCCACUACAUACACACACACACAUAUUCUUUCCGGCACUCCGCCCUAUGACAAAUAACCUGUACUAGCAAUUAUUACACAGUGAUAAAUUGCGUUUUAUUACGUAUAUAAUUUGUUAAUUUAUUUAUUAAUUGUAAAGAUAUUGUAUUUUAUAAAACAAAAAUCAUGACAUUUGUAUCGCCAAUGCCGAGUAGAGAGUUUUUGUGGGAUGUCUUUCAAAGAGUUGAUAAAGAUCGUUCUGGUGCAAUCUCAGCUGACGAACUUCAGCAAGCACUUUCCAAUGGUACCUGGACUCCAUUCAAUCCAGAAACAGUUCGUUUGAUGAUUGGUAUGUUUGAUACUGACAAAACUGAUCCCGAUCCUUCAGGUAUGUUUGACAAGAACCAGAGUGGUACUGUAAGCUUUGAAGAAUUUGGAGCACUAUGGAAGUAUGUAACUGACUGGCAGAAUUGCUUCCGUUCUUUUGAUUCUGACAACAGUGGAAAUAUUGAUAAACAUGAAUUAAAAACAGCUCUGACUAACUUUGGAUACCGAUUAUCAGAUAAUAUUGUUGAGAUGCUGGUGCGAAAAUAUGAUAGACUUGGACAAGGAACUAUUUAUUUUGAUGAUUUUAUUCAAUGCUGUAUUGUGCUAUAUACUCUGACGUCAGCCUUCCGAAAAUAUGAUACUGAUCAAGAUGGUAUUAUUACAAUUCAUUAUGAACAAUUUCUCAGCAUGGUAUUCAGCUUGAAGAUUUAAAUAUGACGUAUUUUUGAAUAUUCAAAAAUGAAAAAUGAUUUGACCUUAAAAUCAAAACUAAGGUAAUACGAAAAUAUUUUUAAUUCAAUCAAAAAGGAAAUUACACAUUGUAGAAUAAUCAAUACAGUUGUUGGCCAGACCAUCCUGAAUUGAUCAUGAAUACAAUAGAAUGAGUGCCAAUUGUGUGAUUGUGACACGACAACAAUUAUGUUGCUUACUGGAAUAUGUUCAUUGCUAAAUUGAUAAAUAUUUUGUAGAAGCUAUGUAAAAUUCAACUGACUUGCCUUCUUUUCCGAUUUAUGUUUACAAAACUGUUAAAAUUUAAAAUUUACUUCAAAUCAUUCAUAUGUCAUAUAGAAAAUACUGUUAUUUAUUCUUUGUUAAAUUUCAAUUGCACAGUUUGAUAAAGAAUACAAAGCUUGAUAAAACGUUCUAUAAAAAUUAUAUUUGUUACAACUUGUACUACUGUAUUAUUAUUAAAAGAAAUAUAU